UUUGCCUAGUUUUUAUGAUUAUUCCUUGCCAACCUGGGUUUACCUUUCUGUUGGGUAGCUAUGCUUAGCUGCUAUACUUGGGUUAUGGUGGUUCUAAUGAACAAAGAUGAUGAACCUAUUUUAUUUAUGCUACACCUUCCUUUAAUACAAGAUCACUGUGAUUAAUUGGAACAUGGAGAACCACCCAGGAAAACAGUGCUACCACAAGACUAAAUGGCCCUGGUCUUGGUUGAAUAAUUAGAAACUCUAGUUUGGGGUAACCUUACCGAAAGGGCAAGAGGGGAGGCGUUGAUGGGAUAUAGCACUCGCUCUCUUGGGAAGUGGGCUUGGCUAAGACACUAUACCCUCUAGGGGACUGCUAUGUUUCGCUUCGACCUGAAACCUUAGCGGGUUACCACAUUGCUAGCGAAUCUUUGUAAAGGCCUCGUAGCGUCCCUAUGCAAUCACACCUCGGAAGUGUGGUAUUGUGCCUGAUCAGCACAAGCGUGGUUGGGUCUAAAGUUCUUUUGAGCUUUUACGCGACUUGUGGGUAAAGAUGUGCGACCUCUGCAGAGUGUAAAACUGAUCGAUCAGCCGUGCUCACGGUUAAGAGCGGCCUGGACCCUCACAUGAGUAAUAUACUUGAAGAUGGAUUUAAAUUGUGGUUUAUGCUAUGGUUAUGGUUGUGCCAUAUGCUUAUGGCUUAUAUUUAUGUUUAUAUUAAUUGUGGGUUGGUAUAUACUUAUACCUUAGUAAUCAGGUGCUAAUAAAAUUUGACCAACUAAAAAUGCUUAAUGCAGUCAACCAGUCAGCCUUUCCUUGUUUAACCCUUGCAUUCAUAUUCUCCUCACACUUGCUGAGUACGACAAGUGCUCACCCUUGCUAUAAACAACGUUGCUCAGAAGAAGAAGCUGCUAUGAAGUUGAGAAGAUGCUGAGUUCUAGGCGUACGCAACCCCCAGUCGAUUGCCUGUGAAGUUUGGAGCCUCCGUUUCCAGUGUUUAAGCUGUGUAUCUCUGAUGGUUUGUAAGUCUUUAUUUGUAUCUUUUCACGUGAUACUGUUGCUGUUAUUCACUAUAUGUAUGAAAUUUGAUCCUGGCAUACAUAUAGGUAGCAUUCGGUUUUGCCUUUAAAACCGGGUGUGACAGAAGUGGUAUCAGAGCCGUAUCGACUGUAGGACGUAAGCCUAGAUAGCAAUGGUCACUUCCUAAGGUCUAUUUUACUAUAUAAACAAUUCCUGCCUUAUCCUUGACCUUUCUGAAAAAUAUUCUCACUCCUUGAUCAUUUUCUUUUCUCAAUCCUCCUUGAUAACUUGAGCUCUUUUCAUUUGCACUUCUUGUCUUGCAAAUGUUAGACCCUCAAUCCUUGUCUAUUUAUUUCCUCUCUCCUUGAUCACUGCUUGAUCUUGAUCAUGCAUCUCCUUCUUGAUGAAUGAUCUUACCUGUUUGAUGCAAUACACCUCCUUGAUUUCUUAGUGAUGUUGCUACUCUCUAAUCCCCUGUUCAUUUAUCUCCUUAAUAUUUUCCUUACUUACUUAUCCUUGUAAACCUAUCUCUUCCUUAACUUUAUUUUUAGUAUAUCCAUCUUCCCCAUUGUACCUCUCGUUGCUUUUCAAAUAAAUGCUACCUUGGAAUCUUUUCCUUGACUUUUUCCAAAAUGUCUCGUUUUAUUCAAAAAUAUCUAGAUGAUCCAUGCCACCUGUCUUAAAGCCUGUUCAAGACAUCUGAAGAAUGGAGUUACCAGUUCACCACUAGAAGUCAAGCCUGAGCAAUUGAAACAUGCACCAAACAUCUGGAGUCAAUGCUGGGCAAGCUGAAGGAUGCCUACAUCAAGUACGUUGAAGUCUUACCAAACAACCCCUGCUUAGGAGUACCCCUUGUAGCCUUAUUAACAACGUUUAGCCUCGUUUCUUGACUCUGUGUUGACUGGUGGAAUUCUGUGUUUGCAUGAUGAUGCUUGUCUUUAUGAAAUUGUCUGAUUUGUUUCUUUGUAAUGAUUGUUGGUGUAUUGUGGGUCUUCUAUCUACAAUGACAUCAGUUGCCUAGCUAGGUUCUUCUUUUGAAUCUCCCAUAUCCUUGUCGUCCAUUCCCUUCUACCCGAGCCAAUGAAGGACAUCAGAAAAGAGGGAACUAAAGUCAACACCGACAUCAACAAGCAGGAGUUAACAUCACCACCACUGUCUCGCUAGAAGCAAGUUGAAGAAUAGAAGGCUUUACUCUGAUCUCCAUCUUACUCUAAUGAUGAUUAGAAGAACCAAAGAAGAUGAAGAAAGCAGGGAGAUUCUACUCUCGAUAAGCAAAGAUGGAAGACUAUCCACUCUACCAUAAGGAACUUGUUGUCUCCCACCUCUUUGUUUUCUUUCUCUCUUCGAAUCUGCUUGUACCUCCCACAUCCUUGUUGUUUUUCUUUCUAUCUCCCAAUUCUGAUGGACAUCACGAAGAGAGUGAAGGCAACACCAAUGCCAACAAGCGGAGGCUAUCGCCACCAUCACCGUCGAAAUAGAAGCAAGCCGAAGAAAAGAAGGCCCUAGCCUAGAUUUCUUGCCACCUCGCUACUUUCUAUCCUUCCUUCUACCUUACUCGGAUGAUGACCCAAGAAAAGACGAUGAUAUCAUGAAGUGCUCUACCUUGUUCUGCAAUUUUAUCCAUUUCCUAUUUUCUUCUGACCCUAUCUUUAUCACCCAACCAAAUAGCGAGUCCCAAUGAAAAUCAUGAAGAUAGAGCCAAUGAAGGAGAUCUUAACAUUCCACCUGUAUCCGCAUUAUUUGAAUGCAAGGUGUUAGAGUAUAUGGCAACACAAAGUCGGACUUUACAAGCAAUGGCUCAAACCAUGGUCAGUAUCCAUCAGUAUAUCACAGAGCACGUCUCACUCCCUCGAAACCACAACCAUUGGCAGAUAACAGUACUCAGCCUAGUUCCCACCAACUAUAGCCUAAAGUUGUUCACCAUCCACGUGGCAACCCCAUCAAGAAGAGUCCCAAUGCGCAAGCUAUUCCACCGAUAGCUACCAUGGAGCAGAAAGGAAGACAAGAAGGAUGUAAUAAAAGAUUGUGCUUCAGAUGCGGUGAAGAAGGCCAUUAUACCAAUAACUAUCCAAUAAAGUGUAAGUGGACCAGGUCCGUUGGAGCCAAAAUAUAUUGCCUCUAUUGUGGAGAAAAUAGACAUCUUGACUAGUCGGUAUGCAAAAGAGAAGGAUGAUCAACCCCAGGACCAAGGACCCAAAAGCCCUGCCUUCAACCCGACAACAUCAGUUGGCCUCUUUGUCAGGACGAAUGAUCAAGACGCCUCAGUCAGGAAAGAAUGCCAUCAGUUACCAAAGCCCAACUCUCAUACCACAUCCAGUCUCCAAGAUACCAAAGCAAGAAAAACAUGUUUCUACUGCAAGGAAGAGGGACAUUUCAUUAGUUAAUGCUCCGAGAAGCGUUUGGACCAGAUGGAUAAGAAGACUCAAGGAUGUGUAUGAAGACUUGAAGGGUGACAGUCGAGCCAGAGGGAAGUAAUUCAGCUCUAUUCAAAUCACUUUACCAAGAAAUGAAGAAAAUUCUUCGAAGAUGGGCCAAAGAAGCAGAGUGAAGGAAAGGAUAUUUAAAAGAGGAAUUAGACUAAGUAUCCCUGAAGUGUUUUAUGUGAUGUAGUGAAGCAUAAAGAAGCAUGAUUGAGAAGCUUACGUAAGGAUGAACGAUCUAGGAAGAAGCUAAUAAGUGUUGGAUGCUACCCACCUAAACCUUUGUCUCUUGCUAGCCUUUGCGAAUCUCGGGACGAGAUUCUUGUUAGGGGGGUAGUGUUGUCACACCCUGAAAUUUCCGAAUUUCAGGAUGUGAAUAAAAAGAAUAAAUAAACAAUAAUUUUCUCAUAAUUUUAAAAUUUUCCCAACAUUUAUUUUUCUUUACAGGAAAUUUAGUAUAGGAAAAAUAAUUGUUUGCUUUUAUAAAUUAAAUAAUGUUGUUCUAUGUCUGUGCAUUCAUGUCACUGCAUCUUGGCGUUUCUUGAGUGCAAAAGUUUGAAAAAUGCGUUUAGACGUUGUCCAGACCCUUGUGAGAAUUUUCCAUCUUUUUCCGGAAAUUAUUCUCCUUUUUCCUAGAGCUAAAUCUAAUUUUUAGAAGGCUCUAGAAUCCUUUUCAUGAGCUCCAAGUAUUUUAUUUGGAUUCUUUGUGUCCCAAUCCAUCUCUGAGAUUUAUCUCAGAUUUUUCGGAAUUUUCUAGGUAUUUUUCUCGCUUUAGAAAACGAGUCCAGCUAUUUCUGGAAUUGUUUUCGCGGAGAUAAAUAAAAUCAGAAAUUCCGAAAAUAAAAAGUCAACUCGAAAAUAUCUUUUUCCGAGUGUGGCCUAUAUAUAUAUCACCGCGUUCGUCUCGACGCGAGGAUUUCAGAUCUACAAACCUUUUCGCGAGUUACCUCUCCUAACUCCGUAGAUCUGAAGUCAAAGUUCGGUCUUCGUCAAACUCCGGCGAGCUUUUCCGGCGAAACCGUGGACUUCCGGCAAAAACCGACACCACCAUGGAGUUCCUCUCUUCGAGCUCUACGCCGUGGUGUGGUGGAUUGCAUGAAUCCGAUGUCGGCUCCGUCGUCUUCCCCAACGCCGGCGAGCUUUUCCGCCACCAUUGUUCAUCUCUUGCCGAAGGUGAGCACACCAUCUUGUUCGCCUCGUCGAUAUCGUUCCAUUUUACCGUUCAUGCGCGAGAUCGGACUUCGUUUCCGCCUACCCCUCCUUCUCUCUCUCCCUCCCUCCUGUUUCUUUUCUUUCUGUACGCAACUGAAACCAUCGGUGCCGGUCCGUUCGUCCUGCUCGCCCGGCCAUCUUCCGCUCGCUUGUGCUGUCGCCGCGCGCACUGCCUCCCUGCGCAUUGCGCCGCACCACCGCCACCGGCUCACGCGCCGGCCGUCGCCCCUGCGCCGCCGCCUGUGCGCCGCCGGAGCCGCCGGCCGAGCCUCCCUGCUGGUGCCUUCACCCGCCGCCCGCGCUCCUGGCCUAGCCCCGGCCCCGGCCGCCGUCGCCGGCCAGCGCCGCCGGAAAGCCCAGGAGGGCCGGUCGGGCAGUUCAACCGUGAGGUUGAAGAUGAGUUGGUGAUUUUGCUAUUAGGCCCCUGAGGAAAACUCAAAUUUUCAGCUUAUUUCUUGUGUCUUGGCAACUUUACAGAAAACCCCUCGAUCCUUCCGGUCCCAUUCAAUUUAAACCGAGCCUCAAAUCUUUUGGAUCUAACCCUGUUAUUUCUAUUAUUUGCGAGCACUAUUCAUGGUGUCUUGCAAAUUUUCCUUGCUAACCCCUGAGGUCUACGGUUAAUUAUGUUUAGGCUCCUACAACCUUGUUUAACCCACAGAAUCUACGUUUUAAUUUCGUUUUCGUCCGUUCAAGUUGCGUUAGAUUCCUAAUGAUGUAAAUUAUACGUUAGUGGUAAUGUUUUCCUUCACACAUAUUUUUGAAAAUAAAAUUUAUAUUAAAAUUGAUUAAUGCUGUCAAACGAGUUCUUUUCUAAUAAAAUCUAUUUAGUGUUAAACAUCGUUUUUCAUAAUAAUUAUUAAUUUGAUUAAUGCCUACUUCAUACCCUCUUCUAAAUAAAAGCCAAUUAGGUUAUAUAUCGGUUUUUCAUAAACUAAAGUUAAUUUGGUUAAUGCCUAUCUAAAUAAUUCUUCCAAUUAAAAGCCACUUAGAGUUAUACCUCGGCGUUUCAUAAAUUAAAUUCAAUUUGAUUAAUGUUUAUUCAAUUUGUUUUCUAAAUAAAAUCUAUAUAGGUUAUAUCUCGAGUUUUCAUAAUUAAAUAUUAAUUUGGCUAAUAUAAAUAUGAAUGUGUUUUUAAUUUAAUCUACUUAGUUGAACUCGAGAUGUAAAGCUAUACGCUUAGAUGUCUACAUGUAUCUUAUUUUUAAAUUAAAUGUUUAAUUUGCAUAAAUUGUACUCAAAUAUUUAUAAAUAAAAUUGGACUAAGCUUUACACCGUCUUUUCUUAUGAAAAUAUAAAUAUGACUUGAUUAAUUCUAACUAAGGAUAUUUCUCUGAAAUAUCUUUACAUUGCUUUUCUCAACCAAAAUAAAUAAAGCUUGUAGCUCUUAUCUUUCUUUUAUAAUUCAAAACUCUCGAUAGCUUUAUCUUUUCAACCAUAGUUCCGUUUUAAGCGUUCCUUACGUUCGCGUGACCUUAGAUCGAGCCUUGUCGUUAGUACGCUCUCUUAAAGCUUUCCUUUUGUUUUGGUGUACUGCUCUUAGUUGUAUUUGUUUGCUUGCUUGUAUGACCGUGCCGGUGAUUGCUUCGAGUAGAAGGAUCACUGUUCGAAAGCUUUGAAGAUUAAGAGUUUCAAGAGAGCAAGAGCCAAAGAGCAGUAAGAAGUAACUUGUCGCUGGAGAAAGGCAAGUGUGUCCUUGUGCUUUUGUCCCAAUAACUUUAUUUAAUCACUAUUGCAUAUGCUUGCAUUAAAUUUGAUGGGUCCUAUUAAGGUUUGCCUAGUUUUUAUGAUUAUUCCUUGCCAACCUGGGUUUACCUUUCUGUUGGGUAGCUAUGCUUAGCUGCUAUACUUGGGUUAUGGUGGUUCUAAUGAACAAAGAUGAUGAACCUAUUUUAUUUAUGCUACACCUUCCUUUAAUACAAGAUCACUGUGAUUAAUUGGAACAUGGAGAACCACCCAGGAAAACAGUGCUACCACAAGACUAAAUGGCUCUGGUCUUGGCUGAAUAAUUAGAAACUCUAGUUUGGGGUAAC
rnacentral:lncRNA from 1 species